AAGUCGUAACAAGGUUUCCGUAGGUGAACCUGCGGAAGGAUCAUUACCAAAAAAUCCAAUACCAACCCCUUUAUUUGUGAAUUCUUUUGAAUGUACUUGGGAGUUUAAAGAAAGGGAAACCUUUCCUCCCAUAUUUAUUAAAACAAUUUUAACUCCUUUUUUGUAAUAAAAAAAAGGGUUGCUUUUCUUUAAAAAAGAAAGCAAUUUUUUAAAAAUAAUAAUUUUAUUUUAUAAAACAAAAAAAAUUUAAAAGUAUAACAACUUUUAACGGUGGAUCUCUUGGCUCGU
rnacentral:misc_RNA from 1 species